UGAACGCUGGCGGCGUGCCUAAUACAUGCAAGUCGAGCGAACAGACGAGGAGCUUGCUCCUCUGACGUUAGCGGCGGACGGGUGAGUAACACGUGGAUAACCUACCUAUAAGACUGGGAUAACUUCGGGAAACCGGAGCUAAUACCGGAUAAUAUAUUGAACCGCAUGGUUCAAUAGUGAAAGACGGUUUUGCUGUCACUUAUAGAUGGAUCCGCGCCGCAUUAGCUAGUUGGUAAGGUAACGGCUUACCAAGGCAACGAUGCGUAGCCGACCUGAGAGGGUGAUCGGCCACACUGGAACUGAGACACGGUCCAGACUCCUACGGCAGGCAGCAGUAGGGAAUCUUCCGCAAUGGGCGAAAGCUUGACGGAGCAACGCCGCGUGAGUGAUGAAGGUCUUCGGAUCGUAAAACUCUGUUAUUAGGGAAGAACAAAUGUGUAAGUAACUAUGCACGUCUUGACGGUACCUAAUCAGAAAGCCACGGCUAACUACGUG
rnacentral:rRNA from 1 species